rnacentral:rRNA from 1 species
UACGUAGGGGGCAAGCGUUGUCCGGAAUUAUUGGGCGUAAAGAGCGCGUAGGCGGUCCGGUAAGUCGGUUGUGAAAGUCGGGGGCUCAACCCUCGGAUGCCGAUCGAUACUGUCGGGCUAGAGUCCGGAAGAGGCGAGUGGAAUUCCUGGUGUAGCGGUGAAAUGCGUAGAUAUCUGGAGGAACACCGGUGGCGAAAGCGGCAUCCUGGACCAACACUGACGCUGAGGAGCGAAAGCCAGGGGAGCAAACGGG